rnacentral:sRNA from 1 species
GGAUUAAAAGAGAUUUUUGGAAUAGGGGAAUAAGGGAGGGCAACAGAGGUGAGUUUCUUUUUAAAACAUAAAAUACAAAAACCUUACGUGAACUGAGAGACGAGAGAGGAUGGACUGUUUGAAAAGAAGAAGAGGAACUUCUAGCUAGUAGCAGGACGUGAGUGAAAGAUGGUAGGUUUUGCUCUGAAAAAUUAGAUCAAGAUAGUAGCUUUGGCCAAGCUAUGUUGUAGCCAUGAGAGUUUCAUGAUUUUAUGCUUGGAGAGUGGCUUAUGAGCAGAACCCCUGACUUUUAUAGUUAUAUCCUUCCUUGUGGCUUUGUAUCUUGUUUUUAAAUUGUAAAAAGAAAAUGUUUUCAAGUUCUGUAUAGAAAAAUGAAGAAGUGUUUUAUUUUGGUUUUGGUACAUUUAUU